rnacentral:rRNA from 1 species
GACGAACGCUGGCGGCGUGCUUAACACAUGCAAGUCGAACGGAAAGGCCCUGCUUUUGUGGGGUGCUCGAGUGGCGAACGGGUGAGUAACACGUGAGUAACCUGCCCUUGACUUUGGGAUAACUUCAGGAAACUGGGGCUAAUACCGGAUAGGAGCUCCUGCUGCAUGGUGGGGGUUGGAAAGUUUCGGCGGUUGGGGAUGGACUCGCGGCUUAUCAGCUUGUUGGUGGGGUAGUGGCUUACCAAGGCUUUGACGGGUAGCCGGCCUGAGAGGGUGACCGGCCACAUUGGGACUGAGAUACGGCCCAGACUCCUACGGGAGGCAGCAGUGGGGAAUAUUGCACAAUGGGCGGAAGCCUGAUGCAGCAACGCCGCGUGCGGGAUGACGGCCUUCGGGUUGUAAACCGCUUUCGCCUGUGACGAAGCGUGAGUGACGGUAAUGGGUAAAGAAGCACCGGCUAACUACGUGCCAGCAGCCGCGGUGAUACGUAGGGUGCGAGCGUUGUCCGGAUUUAUUGGGCGUAAAGGGCUCGUAGGUGGUUGAUCGCGUCGGAAGUGUAAUCUUGGGGCUUAACCCUGAGCGUGCUUUCGAUACGGGUUGACUUGAGGAAGGUAGGGGAGAAUGGAAUUCCUGGUGGAGCGGUGGAAUGCGCAGAUAUCAGGAGGAACACCAGUGGCGAAGGCGGUUCUCUGGGCCUUUCCUGACGCUGAGGAGCGAAAGCGUGGGGAGCGAACAGGCUUAGAUACCCUGGUAGUCCACGCUGUAAACGGUGGGUACUAGGUGUGGGGUCCAUUCCACGGGUUCCGUGCCGUAGCUAACGCUUUAAGUACCCCGCCUGGGGAGUACGGCCGCAAGGCUAAAACUCAAAGGAAUUGACGGGGCCCCGCACAAGCGGCGGAGCAUGCGGAUUAAUUCGAUGCAACGCGUAGAACCUUACCUGGGUUUGACAUGGAUCGGGAGUGCUCAGAGAUGGGUGUGCCUCUUUUGGGGUCGGUUCACAGGUGGUGCAUGGCUGUCGUCAGCUCGUGUCGUGAGAUGUUGGGUUAAGUCCCGCAACGAGCGCAACCCUUGUUCACUGUUGCCAGCACGUUAUGGUGGGGACUCAGUGGAGACCGCCGGGGUCAACUCGGAGGAAGGUGGGGAUGACGUCAAGUCAUCAUGCCCCUUAUGUCCAGGGCUUCACGCAUGCUACAAUGGCUGGUACAGAGAGUGGCGAGCCUGUGAGGGUGAGCGAAUCUCGGAAAGCCGGUCUCAGUUCGGAUUGGGGUCUGCAACUCGACCUCAUGAAGUCGGAGUCGCUAGUAAUCGCAGAUCAGCAACGCUGCGGUGAAUACGUUCCCGGGGCUUGUACACACCGCCCGUCAAGUCAUGAAAGUUGGUAACACCCGAAGCCGAUGGCCUAACCGUUGUGGGGGAGCCGUCGAAGGU